rnacentral:misc_RNA from 1 species
GUGAAUCAUCGAAUUUUUGAACGCAAAUUGCACUCUCCUCGGAGAGUAUGCCUGUUUGAGUUUCAGCCUAUAAAAAAUCGACAUCGUUGCUGUUUCGCGGGGUCUUUCGUCUGAAAUUUGGUCAUUUUGUAGCUUUUGGUUUUAAGCGACUUAAAAUUUUCUUUUUUGUUCCAUGAACGUUUCUAAGAUUUAUUUCUUUACACGUUUAAUGUAUCGAUUGUUAUGAUACGUGACCAGCAUAUCGGAUAUCAU